rnacentral:rRNA from 1 species
AUGAAAUGUCUUUUGAAGGGUAGAAUUUUACCCGAUGAUUAUGAACAAAUCCUAUUUAUCCAAUUCCAAAAUUGUGCCCAAGGAAAUAGGACCAUUUCAGAUUACAUGGAAAAGUUUCUAAGGCUACAAGUGAGGUGCAACCUUGCCGAAACUGAAGAUCAACAGGUUGCAAGGUACAUCAAUGGUCUCAAUGAUGCUAUUCAAGAUCGAUUGAUGAUGCAACAAAUCUGGUCCAUUGAUCAAGCACAAGCUCUAGCAUUGAAGGCCGAGAGGUUUGUGAGGACAAGAAAAACAACUAAGGCUCCAUACCCUCCAUAUCCUCAUACUGAAGGUUCGUCUAGGGAUCACAGUAAUAGAGCGAAAGAAAAGACCGCUCCACCAAAGGCAAAACAACCCAUCCUGAAGCAAACCAUAGGCAAGGUGAUGUAG